CGGUGGAGCAUGUGGUUUAAUUCGAAGCAACGCGAAGAACCUUACCAGGCCUUGACAUGCAGAGAACUUUCCAGAGAUGGAUUGGUGCCUUCGGGAACUCUGACACAGGUGCUGCAUGGCUGUCGUCAGCUCGUGUCGUGAGAUGUUGGGUUAAGUCCCGUAACGAGCGCAACCCUUGUCCUUAGUUACCAGCACGUUAUGGUGGGCACUCUAAGGAGACUGCCGGUGACAAACCGGAGGAAGGUGGGAAUGACGUCAAGUCAUCAUGGCCCUUACGGCCUGGGCUACACACGUGCUACAAUGGUCGGUACAAAGGGUUGCCAAGCCGCGAGGUGGAGCUAAUCCCAUAAAACCGAUCGUAGUCCGGAUCGCAGUCUGCAACUCGACUGCGUGAAGUCGGAAUCGCUAGUAAUCGUGAAUCAGAAUGUCACGGUGAAUACGUUCCCGGGCCUU
rnacentral:rRNA from 1 species